UACGGGGGGGGCAAGCGUUGUUCGGAAUUACUGGGCGUAAAGGGCUCGUAGGCGGCCAACUAAGUCAGACGUGAAAUCCCUCGGCUUAACCGGGGAACUGCGUCUGAUACUGGAUGGCUUGAGUUUGGGAGAGGGAUGCGGAAUUCCAGGUGUAGCGGUGAAAUGCGCAGAUAUCAGGAGGAACACCGGUGGCGAAGGCGGCACUCUGGGCCGGUACUGACGCUGAGGAGCGAAAGCGUGGGGAGCAAACAGG
rnacentral:rRNA from 1 species